UUUUUUUCUUGCACACACAUACACUCUACUUCAAGGUGAAAGCGUUCAUCAAAAAUUCAUUGGAAGUUUAUGUGUAAAAUAGGGGAUUUUGCCUUACUCUGCACAAAGACUCAACGAAUGAAGAUUAUUGUUACACAAGGGAGGAUUCAGAGCAUGUCAAGCCAAAUAUGCAUUUUUAACUAGUUUGAGUCUUAAAUUUUGAUCUUUAAACUACUAGGACAGAAAAGCAACUAGUCUAGAAUAAUGUACAGACCUCUCUAUAUGACUUCUAUACUUGAAGGUCUAAAGACCAGGCUCAAACAAAACUCUUGAUUGACUUUUUUAAGCCACCUUCUUUCCUGGUGAUCUUCCUCCCUGGAAAUGGCACCCCUCUGUCAGUCUGGCCCAUCCUCAGUCCCUUUAUCUCCCUCCUGUCAUGUUCUUCAAGAGCAAUUCCUGUUGAAUUAGCGCCAAAGCCUUUCCCACCCCACCUCACUGCUCCCCCCAUAUCCUCCGCUGCCUGAUGCCAGACACCAGUGUUUCUUCCCCAACAGCCACCACAGCUCCUUGCCUGGUGCUCCGGGUUCUGGUCUUGGUCUCUUCAAGAAGCCCGGAUGAUCUUAUUUUAAAAGAGCAUCACAUCAUGUUAUGAGUCUGAUGAACUCUAUCUAAUGGUUUCCCAACAUAGUUCAGUAUCCAGCCCUCACCCUGCCUGCUGGGCAACAUCUCCGUCUACCUCUCUCCCCGUUGAUUCCUCAGCUCCUAACAAGUGGCUUCAUUUCUGAUCUUCAAAGGGCCCAGGUCACUCCUGCCCUAGAACUUUUCUAUCUGGACCUUCCCUUCUCUGAAAAGCUCUCUUUGUACAUCUUGACAUGGCCACAUCCUGGACACAGAUUUCGGCAGGCUGUCAUCCCUUCCCUCUCUAAAGACACUCCCUGCCCCGGUCUCUUUACUUCACCGUGUUUUUGUUUGUUUUUGUCUUUUUCUUUAGGGCCAUACCCACAGCAUACGGACGUUCCCGGGCUAGGGCUCGAAUCAGAGCCACAGCUGCUGUCCUACGUCACAGCUCACAACUACGCCGGAUCCUUAACCCACUGAGUGAAGCCAGGGAUCACACCCACGUCCUCAUGGAUACUAGUCGGAUUCAUUAGCACUGAGCCACAAUGGACACUCCUACCAUGUUUUUUUUUAACAUAUACUCCCCGAUUUUAAUUUUUUUUUAAUUUAGCUAUUACAUGCAUACAUUAAAAUGCACAAAAUGUAGAUAUUACAUAUGUAUAAUCAAAUGCAUAAAUGCCUUAAUUAUAAAACUUGAAUUUUUACAUGUGCAGCCAGGGUCACCACCUCACGGAUCAAGAGACAGGACAGUUCCAAAUCCCCAAAAGGUUCUAUUAUGUUCCUUCCCACCAUUACCCCCUCCAUCCCGUUGUCUUCACUGUGUUCUAGCAUCAUAACACAUGUGCACACCUGAUGCUUGGGGAUUUAUGUAUUCGUGUGAAAUUCCCACUGGACCAAAGCCCUACCGGAGUGGGUACCUUCCGUGCUGUGUUCAUGGCUACACUCCCUGUGCUCAGCACAGAGUAGGUGCUCAAUAAUGAUUUUCUAAAGGAGUGAGUUAACAGGGCCUGUCAACCAAAAUAUUAAAAUCAGCUGGGUUGAUGCGACUCAGCUACUGAAGUCGACGUUGUUAAAAUUCAAAGGAAAUCCAAAAACCGAACUGCUGCUCUUAACCCGGUAUUCCGGCUUUUAGUGGACUCCCCAGUACCCCCACAACUCCACACUGCAUGUGUCACCUCAGCAGAAGGCUUCCCUUGGGAACUAGCAGCCCUUUUUAGCUAAACAAGCUAAGAAGGGACUAAGUUGCUCAUCAAUAGUAGGUGUGGGGGGGCGGGGGAUUAGAGAGUAAUAAACAUAUUCCUCUGUUAACAUUUUUGCCUCCUUUUUCUCUUUCUAUUGGCAAAUGAUAAGGGUUGUUACGAGAUUAUUGAACCACUUUAACCAUCUACAGUUGAUGGGCAAAGCUUUUCUCUAAUUAAGCAAAUCCUAGAGAUACAAGUCAGCUGAGGGAAGAUUUUCAUUUCUAACUAUAGGCAGCCACGACGGAGAUAAGCAUUUUCCUACCCUUUUUUUGAUCCCUGCCCACGGAUGCACCACGGGCGGUCAACCACCCCAUCUCCGUGGAACCCCACGCACACGCACAAACCCCAGGCGUGGAGGCUUUUAAGCAGAACAAAUAGAAGGAGAGCACAGGAGAGGCUUGACUCAGAGCCUGACAAGGUAGAAUGAUCAAAAUGUGUUAGUACUUCCAUUGAACGGGAGACAUGCGAGUUAAGCAGCAAUUAAGUUAAUAAAUGGAUUCUUAUUUUCUUCACUGAAUCCAAAGAUCUCAGGCUAAUUGUCUUCGUGGUAACAUACCGCUUAUUCAUGAUUUUAAGCAGUGUUUUUAAUAAAGCAAAGAAGGCGGUGUGCUUUAAUAAGAGGAGUAUCAUUAGCUCAGAAGCCAGAGAGACCUGGGUUCAGAUCUCAGUUUAAUCCCUUGUAACCUGCUUCGCUGGAAGUCAGCCAAAUUCCUUUCGCUUCUGUUUUCUCCUCAAGUAAACAGGGUGAGAAACUCAGCAGGGUGCUGCAAGUACUAAAAUGGGAUGUUUGAAGGUGUACAGCACUUUGCCCAAUGGGGGGCCUUAAGUUCCUGACCUUCUGUCGCCAUCGUGAUUACUGUUAAGCCCCGAACCGACCUUCAUCAGCAAUGAUAGCCGUCUAACCAUUUUUUUCAGUGGGUUAGGUUCACUUUCAAGUGGUCUGGUCUCUCUUUAAAAUACAAGGUCCUAAACACAGACCAUGAGAGCCGGGAGCUUCUGAUCAAAACUAUCUUUCCCACUUCGAUCCUCGUAUCAAAUCCCUCGUGCUCAGCACUCCAAACUCAACAUCUUUCUCUGCACUCCUUGACCACGUCGACGCUGCCCUCGUCUUUCCGUGCCUGGUUCCUCCCCAUCCUGCAGGCCACAGGUGGCCGGCACGUAGGACACUUCAUGGCCUCUCUAUAAAACUGUUCUCCCAUCCAUCACUCUCUCCCAUGACCCUCUUUAUUGCCAGCGGGACACUUAGGUACAACCUGCAACAACCCGCCUUUCCUGUCUGUUUGCCUGUUUAACAUCUGUCUGCUCACCAGGGUCUGUGCUCCUCCAAGGCAGGGGUCUUAGCUGGUUCUCAGCCACCUGCUCUGAACAGGCUCUGAAUCCGCGCUUCUUUUAAGAAACAUGCAAGUGAGUGAACCUGUUUGGUAUGGCAGUGGUUUUGAAUGGGUUUCCCCCGAAAGGUCAACAAGACAAGGAUUUGGGUGCUAGUGAUUUGCUUGGGAGGUAACUUCAGGAAAACCCAGAGAGGAAGCAGGAGAGAGGGGCAGGGAAGGGACAGUAACUGGGAGAGGGGGAUUUUCACACUUGUUACCACGGAGGGCGACCAGGGCCCUCACUGGGGACACUGGGAGAAGAGAAGGGCCACGUGGCUGUCCACACAUCCCACCCCCAUCCCAGGAGAGGUAUCCUCGCUGUCCCCACCAGUUCACAGGCCUUAUUGUUCGAGGACUAAUAGUCCUCAACAUUCCCAGCUCACUUCCAGACAGAGUGGGUUCCAGAGGCCAAAAAAAGCACCCAAAAAAUCACAGGGGCUGGCAGGUGGAAAGCAGGCAGGGUAUGCCUCAAAGUGCCUAAGUUCCAAGGACACAGGGGACAAAAUGGCUUUUAUUGUUGAAACCAAAUGCAGGGCACACAGGCCAGCCUCAAAAAUCAGGGCAGCACCCCAAAAUCUAUGAGCCAGGCCUGAAAAACACACACACAACACUCAUAUAUGAUACACAGAGGGGGAUAUGCAUGCUACACCCACAGCAGCUUUCUGCUCUCCUCCCAAAUGACAUUUUGAGCAAAGCCUGACUGCAGAAAAUAAAGCCAACUGAGAGACAAGGCAACGCGUCGGUAAAUACGACUUCUGGAAUAUCUCCGCCGACACACAGGGACACCCCAGCAGUGGUCUGGGGAAUGGCUCCGAUUCCCUGACAUGAUGCUGAAAUAACCAAUAUCACAUUAACAAGGUUUAUGCUGCAAAUUACUCCGUACAAAGUGCUAUUAAAAGUCAGUGAUGAGUGAAAAUAGCCUUCACAAUUUCAUGUCAACAUUCAAACCCUAGAUUGAGUUUCUCCUCUCCAGUUUCAUUCAAAUAAUUAUCUUCCCUUGGAUUAAAUGAUAUUUUUUAAUUUGAUCGCGUCCCACAGCCGUAUGUUUAUUUUAUUUGGGGGAAGGAGAAAGGUAUCUUAAUUUCUCAUAAUAAGAGCUCUGGUGGAAGCUGGAACUUUAGUGACACGCCAGUAAUCAAAACUGAAUUCUAUACAAGAAGUAAAUUAUUCUGCCUUCCCAAUUAAUUUGCAAAUAGCCACAAGGCUAAUAAAAUGCAGGCACAAUUCUGAUUUCCCUUUUGCAAAAGCCUCGCUCCUCAAUAAUCAGGAGAAGAAAACUCACCGAGGUGUAGGUCACGCGCCAGAAAGCCGGCGUUUAGCCCCAGAAGCGCAGCGCAAGUGGCAGCGCCUGAAGCAGGAGGCGGAGGAAAACUCCCUCUGAUUCUUGUCUUCAGGUGNNNNNNNNNNNNNNNNNNNNNNNNNNNNNNNNNNNNNNNNNNNNNNNNNNNNNNNNNNNNNNNNNAUCCAGCCCCAGAAACUGGAAUGAAGAGAGGACCUCCCUGAGGACAUGACUCUGCAGGACGGCAAGCCCUCCAACGCCUUCUGAGGAAGGCCUCGAGGCUGACUCCACCUCCAGUUCAGUUCUUUGACAGCUGCAGGGCAGAUGAUCCUUCGAAAUCUACUUCUGUGGACGAGUGGGUCUCUUACUGCAUUGGGUGGCUUCCAGGCAAGAACCUGGCGGCUGUGUAUUAGCUUCCUGUGGCUGCUGGAACAAAAGACCACAGACUUAGUAUCGUGGAGCAACACGCAUUGACUCUCCUGCAGUCCAGCUCAGAGAAGACACCUCCUUGUCUUGGUCAGCUUCUAGAGGCCACCUGCACUCCCUGGCUCACGGCCUCACACUCCAACCAACUGCUGCCCCCAGUCUGCCGACUCUUUGAUAUUCCUGCUUCCCUCUUACAAGUACCCUUGUCCUUAAACCCAUCUGGAUGGUCCAGAACCAGCUUCUCUAACCAUGUCUGCAAAGUCCCUCUGCCAUGGAAGGUGACAUAUUCACAGCUCUGAAAAUUAGGAGGAGGACACCUCUGUGGGUCAUUGCCUGUCCAACGCCGUGGUCAUCACCACUGCAUCUCAGGCACCUAGCCUAGAAAAGCCACCUCAGGUAACUGGAAUUGCAGUGAAGUGAAAUGGCAAUAAAAUGAGGGAAUUCCGAGCACAAGCACAAGCUCUGAGCGGGAAAUCAGGCUGUGAAUCCUGGCUCUGCUCUGUUAGCCUGACCAGCUUCUUGAACGUGUCUAAACCUCGGUUUCUUCUCCUGCACAACAACACUUAAGAGCACCCGCCUUGAGUCAUUGAGAUAAAUUAGAUAAACCUGUUGAGUUUGGCCAGUGCUACACUCAGAACUCAAUAAGCUUUCACUGAGGCACUAAUGAAAUGAGGGGUCAGUAAAGGUUUUCUGUAAGGAGCCAGGCAGUACGUACUUUCAGCUUCAAAGGCCACGUGGUCUCUGUUGCAAAUAUUCAAUUCUGCAGUUAUAGUGCAGAAACAGUUGUAGACAAUGCAUAAAUGAAUGAGUGAGGCUAUGUCCAAAUAAAAGUUUAGGAAUUCAAUUUUUUUUUUUUUUUUUUUUUUGUCUUUUUCAAGCAGCAUCUGCAGCAUAUGCAAGUUUCCAGGCUAGGGGUCAAAUCAGAGCUGUAGCUGCCAGCCUACACCACAGCCACAUCCACGCGGGAUCUUUAACCCACAGCCCACUGAGCAAGGACAGGGAUUGUACCCGAAUCCUCACGGAUACUAGUCGGGUUCGUCACCACUGAGCCACAACGGAAACGCCUCACAUUUUAAUUUCAUGUCCUGACAUA
rnacentral:lncRNA from 1 species